ensembl:lncRNA
ACCCCGGGGCCCCAAGGAGCCGCGCUACCGGCCCGCACCCCGCGCUCCCGGCCCCGGGCCUCAGGCUGCGGCAUCUCCAGCCCCCAGCCGCCGCCGGGACCGCGCGCCCGCGCCGCGGUCUGGUUCCGGAGCGGGGGCAGCCUCGGAAGGGUUGAGGAGUCAAGAACUGAAAAUUAGAUGGUUUUUUGGAUUUGAGGAUGUGGAAGAUCCUAUGAUUCCUCAUAAAGCAGUACUCACAAUAAAUCUUACCCAGACUUACAAUUAAAUAAAAGUAUCAGAACAUCUGGGUUUGUAAUGUUCAAGCC